ACGCGGCGGCGACGGUGACCCAGGAAGGGGCUCUGGUGCCGGGCUGAGCGGGGGAAGCAGGGGUAGCGGAGCCAUGGGGGAUGCUCCCAGCCCUGAAGAGAAACUGCACCUUAUCACCCGGAACCUGCAGGAGGUUCUGGGGGAAGAGAAGCUGAAGGAGAUACUGAAGGAGCGGGAACUUAAAAUUUACUGGGGAACGGCAACCACGGGCAAACCACAUGUGGCUUACUUUGUGCCCAUGUCAAAGAUUGCAGACUUCUUGAAGGCAGGGUGUGAGGUAACAAUUCUGUUUGCGGACCUCCACGCAUACCUGGAUAACAUGAAAGCCCCAUGGGAACUUCUAGAACUCCGAGUCAGUUACUAUGAGAAUGUGAUCAAAGCAAUGCUGGAGAGCAUUGGUGUGCCCUUGGAGAAGCUCAAGUUCAUCAAAGGCACUGAUUACCAGCUCAGCAAAGAGUACACACUAGAUGUGUACAGACUCUCCUCCGUGGUCACACAGCACGAUUCCAAGAAGGCUGGAGCUGAGGUGGUAAAGCAGGUGGAGCACCCUUUGCUGAGUGGCCUCUUAUACCCCGGACUGCAGGCUUUGGAUGAAGAGUAUUUAAAAGUAGAUGCCCAAUUUGGAGGCGUUGAUCAGAGAAAGAUUUUCACCUUUGCAGAGAAGAUGAGAACACUGAGGAUAGAAGAUAAGAAGUUGUCCAAUAUCACACAUACCUCCCUGCACUUGGCUAUUCAAAACGGGUCCAUCUGAUGAAUCCUAUGGUUCCAGGAUUAACAGGCAGCAAAAUGAGCUCUUCAGAAGAGGAGUCCAAGAUUGAUCUCCUUGAUCGGAAGGAGGAUGUGAAGAAAAAACUGAAGAAGGCCUUCUGUGAGCCAGGAAAUGUGGAGAACAAUGGGGUUCUGUCCUUCAUCAAGCAUGUCCUUUUUCCCCUUAAGUCCGAGUUUGUGAUCCUACGAGAUGAGAAAUGGGGUGGAAACAAAACCUACACAGCUUACGUGGACCUGGAAAAGGACUUUG
rnacentral:sRNA from 1 species